GAGCCCAAGAUUGAAAGCUGGCGCCUUCGGCGUCCGCAUUGUAAUCUCAAGAAGUGUUUUCCGCUUCGGACCAUGCCUAAGUCCCUUGGAAAAGGGCAUCAUAGAGGGUGAUAAUCCCGUACAUGGCAUGGAGCGCCCGAAGCUUUGUGAUACGCUUUCUAAGAGUCGAGUUGUUUGGGAAUGCAGCUCAAAAUGGGUGGUAAAUGCCAUCUAAGGCUAAAUAUUGGGGAGAGACCGAUAGCGAACAAGUACAGUGAUGGAAAGAUGAAAAGAACUUUGAAAAGAGAGUUAAACAGUACGUGAAAUUGCCAAAAGGGAAGGGUAGGAGGUCAGAGAUGCGUCGCAGGAUUCAGCCUUGCUUUUGCUUGGUGUUUUUCCUGCGUUGCAGGCCAACGUCGGUUUUGGGCACUGGAGAAGGGUAGGAGGAACGUGGCACCUCUCGGGGUGUGUUAUAGCCUCCUACUGGAUACAGCGACCGAGACCGACGAACGCAACGUACUCGUAAGAGCGGGCCUUUUGGCACCUUUACGCUUA
rnacentral:rRNA from 1 species